UACGUAGGGUGCGAGCGUUGUCCGGAAUUAUUGGGCGUAAAGAGCUUGUAGGCGGGUUUGUCGCGUCUGCUGUGAAAAUCCGGGGCGUCAACCCCGGACCUUGACAGUGGGUACGGGCAGACUAGAGUGUGGUAGGGGAGACUGGAAUUCCUGGUGUAGCGGUGAAAUGCGCAGAUAUCAGGAGGAACACCGAUGGCGAAGGCAGGUCUCUGGGCCAUACUGACGUGAGAGCGAAAGCUGGGGAG
rnacentral:rRNA from 1 species